GAGAGCCACAGCGAAGACGGCGGGUAGCUGCGAGGUCAGGUGGGGCCUCGGGGCUGCUGCAGGGCAGUGAGACUGGAGCCCACCGGGCUCCUCUGUCCAUGGGCCUUCCCAGGCAAGAACACUGGAGUGGGUUGCCCUUUCCUGCUCCAGGGGAAUCUUCCCGACUCAGGGAUCGGACCUGUGUCUCCUGCACUGGCAGCCAGCCCACAAGGUGGGUACUUUCUCAUUUGCCAGAUGAGAAAACUGAGGGCCAGAGAUACUAAGCUUUGCCCACAGUUCCACAGCGACGGAGGGCAGUUUCCCGACAUGUGGGUGAUCCCCACAGCCUGAGCUCCUUCUACCAUCUCUCCGGUGUCUCCAGCUCCUGGAACUCCUCAAGCAUCAGGCACAGGUUGCCAUCAUACUCCAGGAAAGUCAGGUAGAGGUUGCGGAAGGAUUCCACAUGCUUAUUCUUCACGCGAAGCUUCUUUGGGCAGGGGUUGCACCAGCCACGGGUGCUCCUUGAUGACGGCGUUGAAGAUGUCCUGGGCAGAGACGGUCGCUGUCACACCUCGGCCCAGAGCCCGCCCCCACCGCCCUCCGGAGCCCCCAGACCUGGUCGGCC